CAGCCUCCCAAGUAAGAUGCCAGAGACUUCAAACACUGCUGUUGUUUCUCAAGGAAAAGAUCCAGUUAACAAGGAAUCAUUCUCUCUUCUUCAAUAGCUGCUUACGAAAUAAAAACAUCAGUAGGAGGGGAAGGAGGAAGGAAGGAGAAGAAAGAGGAAGAAUAGGAGGAGAAGAGGAAGAGAGGAAGAAGUCGUGAACAGCCCUCCUGCAUUUUGCAUCAGGUAGAAAAGUCAGUUGAAUGUUGGGAAGAACACAAAUAAAAAUGCAAGAGAACAGCUAUCUUCACAGAUCCCGGAACAAAGGACAAAGGAUAGAACUAAAAGCGCCCCCCACCCGCCG
rnacentral:lncRNA from 1 species